rnacentral:rRNA from 1 species
GACGAACGCUGGCGGCGUGCUUAACACAUGCAAGUCGAGCGGUAAGGCCUCACUUGUGGGGUACACGAGCGGCGAACGGGUGAGUAACACGUGGGUGACCUGCCUCUAGCUCUGGGAUAAGCCUGGGAAACUGGGUCUAAUACCGGAUGUUCACUUCUGUCUGCAUGGGUGGGGGUGGAAAGUUUUGUCGGCUAGGGAUGGGCCCGCGGCCUAUCAGCUUGUUGGUGGGGUGAUGGCCUACCAAGGCGA